rnacentral:lncRNA from 1 species
UGUUGCUGAAGAAAAGAUAGAGAUAUAUGAGGAGAAAAUAGAGGAAGGAGAAAAAGAAAGGUUGAGUGAGGAAGAGAAAGUUGAGAUGAGAGAAAAAGUAGUGGUUGAAAAAAAGGAAAAAAAGAAGAAAAUAAAGAAAAAAGAAAGAAAAGAAGAAAGUUGAGGAAGAAGAAGAUUGAGAAAAAGAGGAAUAAAGGAAAGAAGAAAAACUCACAUGAAAAGCCCCUUCCC